rnacentral:rRNA from 1 species
AACGAACGCUGGCGGCGUGCCUAACACAUGCAAGUCGAACGAGAAAGGGGCUUCGGCUCCGAGUAAAGUGGCGCACGGGUGAGUAACACGUAGGUAACCUGCCUCUAAGAUUGGGAUAACCUGUCGAAAGACGAGCUAAUACCGAAUAAGACCACGGCUUCCUCGGAAGCAGGGGUCAAAGGUAGCCUCUACUUGUAAGCUAUCACUUAGAGAUGGGCCUGCGUACCAUUAGCUAGNGGUGGGGUAACGGCCUACCAAGGCAAAGAUGGUUAGCUGGUCUGAGAGUAUGAUCAGCCACACUGGAACUGAGACACGGUCCAGACUCCUACGGGAGGCAGCAGUGGGGAAUAUUGCGCAAUGGGCGAAAGCCUGACGCAGCAACGCCGCGUGAGUGAUGAAGGCCU